AACUAACUUAGCUCGGGAUUUGUACUGUGCAUAUGUGUGUACUAUCAAAGACAGAUUGAGAACCGUUUUACAAGCAAUUAUUUUAUCCUAAUGACGGAAUAUAAAUUGGUGGUUGUUGGAGCUGGUGGCGUUGGAAAGAGCGCUCUAACCAUCCAACUUAUCCAGAACCAUUUCGUAGAGGAAUAUGAUCCCACAAUAGAGGACUCCUACAGAAAGCAAGUUGUGAUAGACGGAGAGACAUGUUUGUUAGAUAUCUUGGAUACGGCAGGUCAAGAAGAGUACAGCGCUAUGCGAGACCAGUACAUGAGGACGGGUGAGGGCUUUCUGUGUGUUUUUGCUGUCAACAGCACGAAGUCUUUUGAGGACAUUAACCAGUACAGGGAACAGAUUAAAAGAGUUAAAGAUGCUGAUGAAGUUCCUAUGGUGUUGGUGGGUAACAAGGUUGACCUACAAACACGGACCGUGGAGAGUAAACAGGCCAAACAGGUGGCGGACAGCUACAACAUACCCUACGUAGAGACCUCGGCCAAAACCCGACAGGGAGUGGACGAUGCUUUCUACACCCUCGUCAGAGAAAUCAGGAAGUUU
rnacentral:misc_RNA from 1 species